UGAGGCAGGAGAAUUGCUUGAACCCAGGAGGUGGAGGUUGCAGUGAGCCGAGACCGUGCCGCUGCACUCCAGCCUGGGUGACAGAGUGAGACUCCAUCUC
rnacentral:miRNA from 1 species